UACGUAGGGGGCAAGCGUUAUCCGGAUUUACUGGGGGUAAAGGGAGCGUAGACGGCGAAGCAAGUCUGAAGUGAGAGGACGGGGCCCAACCCCGGAACUGCUUUGGAAACUGUUUUGCUUGAGUGCGGGAGGGGUAAGCGGAAUUCCCAGUGUAGCGGUGAAGUGCGUAGAUAUUAGGAGGAACACCGGUGGCGAAGGCGGCUUACUGGACCGUAACUGACGUUGAGGCUCGAAGGCGUGGGGAGCAAAC
rnacentral:rRNA from 1 species